UAGCUUUAUAAGUAAUUAAGCUUCCUUCAUUAUUAAAUCCUUUAACUAUUAUUGGUGUUUUUAGUUUAUCCCAUUUGCUUUCUGGUAAGCAAUUAUAUCUACAUAAAUUAGCUUCUGCUCCUGUAUCUAUCAUAGGCGUAUAAUAUCUACUGUAAUAUCCUUCUACUACUAUCUUCAUUAAUACAUGUAUCUUCAUUUCAUGUUAAGGCUCUUUUUAAGAAUAACUUUUCUUGGUUAUAUGUUAAGGUUAAUUGUGUAUGUUCUAUAUUAUAUGGUUUUACUUGUUCUAACCAUUUUAUUCCUAAUAUUAUAUCUGCUUUUUGCAUUUCUUCUUUUACUUCGAAUUCUAUUUUUAUUUUUCUAACUCCUAAUAUUAUUUCUUUUUCUGCUAGAUUUUUAUUAUUUAUUAAACUUCUUGGUAAGUCUGGGCAUAUAUUAUUGUCGGUUUUUAUUUCUUCAUUUUUUACUAGAUAUUUUGCUAUAUAAUUUUCUUCUUGUCCUGUGUUCAAAAGUAUUAAAUAUUCUUUUUCAUUUAUUUUUCCCGUUAUGUAAUAUUGGUUUAAAUUACUUAUUGAGUUUGUUUCAUAACUUGUUCUUUUUGAUGAGCUUGAUGAUUCUGGCUUUUCAUUAGCUAUUCUUUUCGUUGUACUUAUUCUAUCAUUUACUAUUUCUAAAUUUUCUUCUGUAUCUAUGUCUCUAUAGGUAUAAUCAUUAUAAUCUAUUGUUUUUACUAUUUGUUCGAAUGGGCUUUCUAUUUGUAUUUUGUUAAUCUUAUUUUUUCCUGUUAUUUUAUGUUUUGUUGUUAAUACAUAUAGGUUUUUACAUCUUGCUGUAAAUAUUUUACUUCCUGGGGUUAACUCUAUUCCUGAUAUUUUCCAAUAUAAUACUAAUGAUUUAUCUAUAUUCCUAUCUGUUACUGCUACUGAAUAAUUUGCACUUAUUAUAAAUUUAAAUUUUUGGUAUAUUAGAUUUCCUUUUACGGCAGUUAUUAUGCUUUUUUCUAUAGGUUUUAUAAUUCUAUCGUCUGCUAAAUAUAAUUCUAUUGGUGUAUCUAUUCCUUCUCUAAAACAUGCUUUUAUUAAUAUCUCUGUACCUCCAAGGUGUACAUAUUUUAUUGGAUCUCCUUUACUUUUUAUAUCAUUUAUUUCUUUAUUAAUUAUUCUUUUUGUUACUAGUGGUAUACUAGCUUUUCCUUUUGCAUAUCUGCAAUCUAUUACAUGUUCUUUUUGGCAUACUACAUAAUAUUCAUCUUUUUUCCUAGUAAAAAUAUUUUUUAUUGUUGGUAUUUUAAAUAUUUUGUCUACACUUAAAUCUAAUUCUUUUCCUUUUAUUUCAUCAAAUAUAUUACUGUCAAAUAUUAUUUUUUGUUCCGUUCCUUCAUCAUUUAAAUAUUCUUCCUUUGUUAUUAUUUUUAUAUCUUCUUCAGUCAUUUGAUUCAUCUAUUUCGCUAUCUAUUUCAUUAUCUGUUUCGUUUUCUGAAAUUUCAUAUAUACUAUCUUCACUUUCUAAUUCAUAAUCUAUAUAAUCUAUCUGCAUGUAUUCGGUAUUUUCUAUUUUUAUUUCUGAUAUUUGUUUAUUUUUUGGAUUUUUAGGUAAUUUACAAUCUCUAGCUAAAUGUCCUAACUUUCCACAAUUAUAACAAGUACAUUCUUUUAUAGAUUUCUUUUUUCUAUAUGGUCUUUUAUGUUUAUAAUUUUUUACAUAGUAUCUUUUUCUUGGUUUUUUAUAUUUAUAUUUUGAUUUUUUAUAUUUCUUAUAUUUCUUAUGUCUUUUUCUUUUCUUAUAAUAUCUUUCUUCGCAUCCAAAUUGGGGUGCUAUUUUAUUUUUGCAACAAGCUAAAUUUCUUAUUAAUGUUUUUUCCAUUUUUAAUUCUUCUCUAUAUUUUUCACAUAAGUUUCUAUACCAUUGUUGUAAAUAUUUUAUUCUUGCUCCUAACGUAUCUACUAUUUUUGCUUCUUCCCAACUUUUUAUUAUUUUCGAACUAAAUGGCUCGGGUAAUUUAUUAAAAUAUAAUUUUCUUAUUUCUUUACUUUCUUCUAUACUAUAUGCUCCUUUGUAAUAAUAUUCUUUAAAUGCGCAAGUAUAUUCAUCUAUAUAACACAUAUUACAUAUUGCUAAUUUUAACAUUAAAUUUCUAUUUGUAUCUUUUUCUUCAUUUUGUUCUUCUUCGAUUGUUGUCGUACUACCAAAUUCAUCUUUUAUAGCUGUUUCAUAUUUUUUUAAUAAUUCUAUAGGUGUUAGUUUAGUUGUUGUCGAUGAUGUUCCUUCUAUAGGUUUAUUAGUUCUUAAUACUUUUUUGCUAUUUUCGGUUAGAUUUGCAAACCAUAGUUUUACUGAUCCUAUUAGUGUUUUUUCUAUAUAUUCCGGUGCAUCUGUUAUAUUUAUAUUAUUAUCUAAUAAUUGUUUUGUCAUAUAUCCUAUCCAUAAUUGUAUUGUUUUUUCUGUAUCUAUUACACAGUCUAGAUCUAAAAAGUUAUAAUUUUUAUUCACUAUUUGUUUUGGUUUCCAUUUAUCAUAUUCAUUAUAUUUUUUAAACUUAUUCUUAUGGUAUAUAGGUUUUCUUAUUUCUGUUGUUUUAGGUAUUAUAUUUUCAUUUUCUUUUUUAUCAAGAGUAUUUAUUUCUGUGUGGGUAUUUUCUAAGUUUUCCUCAUUAAUUUUUUGUUCUUCAUUGAUUUCUAAAUUUUUUGUAUUUGUUAAUAUUUCUGUGUAUGUUUCACUAUCUUCGGACUCAUAAUUAUCUGUCUCUUCAAUAUCUAUAUUAUUUAUUUCUAAUUCUUCGUUUUUUAUUUCUAAUUUUUCCUUAAAUUGAUUUAUCUCAUUUAGUAAUUUCUGUUCUCUAUCUUUUUCUUCUUUUUCUUUUUGUCUUUGUUCAUACAGUUCUUUUAACAUUUGUAAUUCUUUUUCUAAUUCAGCAAUUCUACUAUUUUUGGUUUCUUCUAUUUUUCGUAUUUCUUCCGUAGUUUGUUGUUUUAUUUUUUCUAUUUCUUUUUUCCUAUCUAUCUCUUCAUUUUCUUUUUCUAUUCUUACCAUUGCUGUUAAUUUAUCUUCUAAUUUUAAUUCUUCUUUUUCUAACAUUAGAUAUAAAUGUUCACCUAUUUUCUUAUAUCUUCGUCCUAGAUUAGAAAAUACUAUUUUUAUUUUUGAUCCUUCGUAGUUUUCAUAUAUUUUUUCAUCUAUUAUAAAUUCUUCUUUAUUCAUUUUAUUGUGAAUAGGUCAUGUUGAUAUACAUAUUCUAAACUAUCUAUUUGUGAUUCUAAUUUUGAUAUUUCAUCUUUUUGUGUAUCUAUUGAAUUUUUACUAACUCCGGCAAAUAUAUUAUAAUGUAGUCUUUCUAUUCUUAUUUUUAAUUCUUUACGUUUUUCAGAGAUAAUUUGUUUUAAUUCUUUAUAUUGUUGUAUUUUAUUCAUUUUAAAUUAUAUUUAUAAUAUCUCGGUGGAUAUCUAAAUCUAAUUUUAUCAUAAUUAGGUGGUAUAUGUUUCAUUCUUCUAGAUUUUAAAUGUGUUAUUAAUUUUGAUUCAAUACUAGAUAUUAAUGUAAUUAAGUAGGCUAGUUUUUGUGGAUUUUCUUUUGUUUUAUUUAGACUUAUAUAUUCUGAAUAAUUACUAAUUAAAGAUUCUUUAAUUUUUCUAAAAGCUUCUCUAUUUUUAAAUGGUCUUCGCAUAAUUAAUUAAUUAUAAGUAAAUUGUUUUAACUCUAAAUCUAAUUUUGACUCUAACAUGUAUAUUCUAACUCUAAUAUAUAUAUCUCUUCUGUACUGUUUAAAUUGCUGUGCUCUGAUACCAUUUAUAGGGGGGGUGCGGAUUUAAUAGGUAUAAUAGAUUUAGUAGGUUCUUUUCUUUGUUAUGUGUUAAGGUUAGUUGUGUAUGUUCUAUAUUAUAUGGUUUUACUUGUUCUAACCAUUUUAUUCCUAAUAUUAUAUCUGUUUUUUGCAUUUCUUCCUUUACUUCGAAUUCUAUUUUUAUUUUUCUAACUCCUAACAUUAUUUCUUUUUCUGC
rnacentral:lncRNA from 1 species